rnacentral:tRNA from 1 species
GGAGAGGUGUCCGAGAGGCCGAAGGAGCACGACUGGAAAUCGUGUAGGGGCUCUAAAAGGUUCCUCGUGGGUUCAAAUCCCACCCUCUCCG